rnacentral:lncRNA from 1 species
CAUUUGAUGUUUUCGGCAUAGUGGCAGUUCCAAAUCCUCCUAUCAGCUGGAAAUAGAGUUUACACUGGAAAGAUAGUGGACAUCCGGCUCCUAUCAGAGUUGGUCUUCCCGAUCCACGAAGCAAAGACUGCCCUUUUGUUGUGCCGGUGCCUGCGAACUGUCUGGUUCUGGUCUUGAAGGUCGCCGGGCAUGACGCUUUAGGUAAAUCUUUCCCACUCAAUCCAUUGGGUCAGUGCAGACAUGAGAGAUUUCAUAUUAGGUGAAAACUCAAACUAGUCAUCAUAGGGUACGAUCCUUCUCUUCUCAUACCUCGGGGACGG